CACGAGCGCACCCCUGCGGUUAGUUGAAUGCUCUAGCCGGACUGCCACGAUCAACGUGGAGGAAGGCGGGGAUGACGUCAAGUCAGCACGGCCCUUACGUCCUGGGCGACACACACGCUACAAUGGUCACGACAAAGAGUUGCGAACGCGCGAGCGGGAGCCAAUCUCGUCAAACGUGGCCUCAGUUCAGAUUGGAGGCUGCAACCCGCCUCCAUGAAGUGGGAGUUGCUAGUAACCGUGAGUCAGCAUAUCACGGUGAAUACGUUCCCGGGUCUUGCACACACCGCCCGU
rnacentral:rRNA from 1 species